rnacentral:lncRNA from 1 species
CGGCCUGGCCCCACUGCUGGCUGCUGGCGGAGCCGCCAGCCCGGCCUCCGCAGCCCUCGCGCGGCAGGAGAAGCCCUUUGUCUCCUAACUGGUUAAGUACAGAAUAUCCGGGAGAUCUUUAUGAAAUAUUUUCCCUCGUCUCAUAAAUCAUCUUGGCACUUCAGCUGAUGUUUUAACUCUCUCUCUCCCUCCUUCACUCCCUCCCCCUUCCCUGGGUCUGCGAAAGGGCGGCUGGGCGAAGCCCGCGCUGGGCUUCCUCGGCCCGGUCAGCAGUCCUGGCAACGCGGGGUGAAGGCCUCGGACUUAUGCUCCGGACCCGGCCGAAGCCUAGCAGCACCCAGGGUGGGACACACCUGCCUGGCUCUGCCAGGUGCGGCCUGACGCUCGCCGGGCGUCCCGAGCCGUUCUCGGGCACCCUUCCUCCUGGAUAGGUCCCGGCCGGGCUCAGCCCCCAGGUUUCUGAGCGUCUCACUGCUUAGGAGGCCGGGUCCACUGAGUUCAGAGCAUUCGCUCUCCCUCCGGGAUCGUCCUGAGCCCGACCCGCCUGAGCCGCCCGUAAAGUAACUUCUAGGAAGAACACAAAACAACUCCCCACCUGCGCCCCUCGCGCGCUCGCCUCCGCUUCCCCUGGGUGUCGAGCAGAUUCCCCUGGGCGGGAGGUUGGAGGUGCUGGGUGCUGCGGAAGGUCAGUCGCUUCCUCUCAAGGCCUGCAGGUGGCGCUCCCGGGUUUGCUUUGCCCUCGCAGCCCCCACGAACACGCACUAACUUCAUGCGGGGAGCCAAAGAGGAAGAGUUCUGCAGCCUAACGGGAACAGCUAAAGACGGUGGGACUUUCAGGUGGUUUCAGCUGGCGCAGCCUUGGGCUUUCUUCGGGAAGAGUUUAGCAAAAAGGGGGGGGGAGGCAAGAAAAAAAGGAAGAAAGAAGAGGAAAAGAAAGAGAAAAAAGAAAACAACCCAACCCCAAACACAACCCCGGCUCCGACCUGUCAGGGUUGGUUGCUUUUCCGUCUGCCUCUAAAUGAACCUUUUCUCUCUGGCGUUUUCAAAGCGGCCCUUCCACCCUCCAACCUAGGGGCAUUUACACUUCAAACAAGGUUCCCGCCUCCCUGCGGAAAUUUAAAGGCAAAUAAACUUUUGGGGAGUUGCUCUGAUACCCAUCUCGGGAUUUGCUUCAUUAGCCGCCUCUGUGCAUCUGAUCUGCCCAAUAAAUC